UUGUACACACCGCCCGUCACACCACGAGAGUUUGCAACACCCGAAGUCGGUGAGGCAACCCUUUCGGGAGCCAGCCGCCGAAGGUGGGGCAGAUGAUUGGGGUGAAGUCGUAACAAGGUAUCCCUACCGGAAGGUGGGGAUGGAUCACCUCCUUU
rnacentral:rRNA from 1 species